rnacentral:pre_miRNA from 1 species
GUUAUACUCGCUCCGUCCGGAAAUACUUGUCAUCAAAAUGAAUAAAAAAAUGUAUCUAGAUGUAUUUUAGUUCUAGAUACAUUCUUUUUGUCCAUUUUGAUGACAAGUAUUUUCGGACGGAGGGAGUACUUG